rnacentral:rRNA from 1 species
GACGAACGCUGGCGGCGUGCUUAACACAUGCAAGUCGAACGGAAAGGCCCUGCUUUUGUGGGGUGCUCGAGUGGCGAACGGGUGAGUAACACGUGAGUAACCUGCCCUUGACUUUGGGAUAACUUCAGGAAACUGGGGCUAAUACCGGAUAGGAGCUCCUGCUGCAUGGUGGGGGUUGGAAAGGUUCGGCGGUUGGGGAUGGACUCGCGGCUUAUCAGCUUGUUGGUGGGGUAGUGGCUUACCAAGGCUUUGACGGGUAGCCGGCCUGAGAGGGAGACCGGCCACAUUGGGACUGAGAUCCGGCCCAGACUCCUACGGGAGGCAGCAGUGGGGAAUAUUGCACAAUGGGCGGAAGCCUAAUGCAGCAACGCCGCGUGCGGGAUGACGGCCUUCGGGUUGUAAACCGCUUUCGCCUGUGACGAAGCGUGAGUGACGGUAAUGGGUAAAGAAGCACCGGCUAACUACGUG